UUAAAAAGAAAAAGUGAAAUAUGGCAUGCCAAGAUCUUGUUGUUGUUGUUGCACUUGUUUUCAUGGUUGUUGUUGGGGCAUUUGCUGUCGAAUCGUCACCUUCACCAGUCCCUUCCAAGGCAUCUUCACCUUCGAAGUCACCAUCUCCUUCUUCUUCGGCUUCUUCACCCAAGUCCCCCUCCAUUAAGUCACCGUCACAAUCCUCCAAUGGCUCAUCUUUUUCACCAUCAAAAUCCCACGAAGAAGCACCCAAGUCAUCUCAUCCUGGUGCCCCAAAGAGCUCUUCAAGCUCCACUUCCCCUAAUCCUAGUCAAAGCGACAACCCUAACGCCAACAAAGGAUACUCUUCUGAGGUUGAGUCUCCUGAGGAGGUCUCCACCCCUCCUUCACCAACUGCCAAUGAUGAAGUUUCUCACUCCCCUACUCCUAGCCCUGAAAGCACGGGUGAUGUUUUCGAUAGUGAGACCCUUGCACCAGCACCCUCUAAUGCCAUUGAAAUAAAGGCCACCACUUGCAUUGUCGGUGUUUUAACUAUUGUCGAAUUCUUCCUCUUUUAAGCUUCACAUGCAUAAGUUCAUGGAAGCCCUUGAGAUGUGCUUUCUAGUUACCUUUAAUUUUUAUUAAAAAAAAGUCAGAUUUAUAUGCUAAUUAAAAUUGUACUCUUAAGGCCUGAAAUAAAAUUUAUAAUAUAUUUUUUAAUUAAUGUACUAAUAGUGAAUCAAAACCUGUUAACAUCUGGCAUUAAAUAAGUUCGAAUCACUGAUUAAGCUUUUUUAAGAAUUUUCAUGCUUAAGGUCAAACUUGAGGUAAUUAAAGCUUGUCCGUAUUCAGGCUCAAGCUUAGCCUAAUAAUUAAGUUUAGGUUAAUAAUAUAUAUUAAAGAUGAUAAAAUAUUUUAAUAAUCUAAAAACAUUUAAAAUAUAUAUUAAAAAUGAAAGGCUCGAUAAGGGUCACGAGCUAUUCAAGCAAGUAUUUCUAAGCUUGAAUUUUACUCGAUCGAUAGCUAAAGCUUAGCUCGAUAAUUACCAAAUCAAGGUCAAGUUUUUUAGUCAAAUUCAUUGUAGUGAAUGCUAUGUUUGAAUAUGUUUGUAACACCCUAGACAGAUCUCACAUUGACAAAUUACGGGAGAGACCUUGGCUAUAUAAAAGGGUAACAACACUUAUGUGGUAAGAGGUCUAUUAGGGGUGAAUAGGCACUCCGGAGAACAAAGCCAUGAGGGCCAUGUGCCAUGCCUAUUCUAUACUAGUGGAAUGCAUGUAUGUGUUUACUUAAGUUGAUCGAAUGUGUCUAUUGCCUUGUCUGCUAUAAAUGAAUGUGCAAUCUGCAAAUGUACGCUAUUGUAUUGCUUUCUUAUGUUCUGAAUGCGUUACUGCAAGCUUAUUGUUCUUACUUUUUGAACGUUUGACAAACAUACCUGUGUUACUUAUUUAUUGAUCGCAUGUUUUUACAUGCCAUUGCACUGUAUUGUAGUUGUUUCUGUCAAGCAUGAUCAUGCUACAUACAUGAUAUAUUAUAGUGCAUUGCAUGGUGAUUGGGAUUGAUUGGUGAUGGAGGAGUUUCGUAGAGUAUUGGCGGCAUAUCUGUAAUAUUGUUGUUAGUAUACUGCACUCGCACUGGGUUUUUUAAGCUCAUCUUAUUAGUUUAACAUUUCUCAGGUAGUUUGUAAGGUUAGGGCUUGCAUUUGGCAAUUUAGAGGUCUCGUCCCGAUUUUAUUAAAUAAAAUAUUUAAUUUUAUAUUUUUAUUACUUUGUUUGUAAUAAUUUACUUACGAAUUGUGGCAUUGGAUUGGUUUUUGGGUAUAUUUAUUUAUUGCAUGCAUGAAAGUAAAGAAUUGGAGAAGUUAAAUAAUUGACUCAAUUAAUAAUUGGUCAUUAAAGUUAGUAAUUAUGGUUUUUGAAACUAAUUGUGAAUAAUGAUUUUUCACCUGCAAAAUUGGAUUUUUUCUGGAAACUCGGAAUAACAAUUAAUGAUCAAAUAUGUAAUAUGUUUUUAAAUUUAAUAAAAAUCUUUUUUUAUUUGAACUUGCAAAAAUUAAUUUUAUUUAAAAAAAUAAAGACCCACGUGAAAAAUAAAUGAAUGUUUUGAAAACAAGUUGAUGAGAGUUUGCUUGUUUCUUUUGGGCCAUUUCGAUCGUCGAUAUGACCUUCAAAAUCUAGUAUUAACUUUUGGGCUAGGGUGGGGAGGUUAUAUUAGAAAAUAAAUGGAAUGGUAAGAUGAGUUAGAUGGUGGAUUGAAUAUGAUAUAGAUUUGGCUAUAUACAUGUAAUGUUAUUGAUUGGAUAUGUUUUUGGUAUACUAAUACCUUGUUCUAUAUUAUGUAUACAUGUUUUGGCAUAGGUGACUGUGAAUCAUAAAAGUGUAAAUUCGCUGGUCCGUUCGGAAACUUGAAAUAGCUAUAAAAUGACUCAAAUUUUAUAAAAAACAGAGCCCACGUCCCAACGACUAAUCACCCUCAUCGCAACUUCAGCCGACACGUGUAAGAUAGCAACAAUGAACAGACCUAAGUCAUGAUGUGAAAAACUGUUUGGCGAUGUCACCACGUCGGCCAAGAGAUUUUGAAGCUUUAAGUUUUGGUUUGGUCUUCUUUUAUGUUCGGGUCAACAAAAAAGUUUUCGUAAACCCGAUUAAGACUCAGAUUUGAUUAUGUAUCAUAAUACAAAUGCGUUUAAUUUAUAAUUGUAUAUUUGAAUGAUUAUGUUUCUUUAUAAUUGACUAUAGUUUCUCCGGUAACGAAUGUGACAUCUUAUAGCUCGGACCCAGUGAUCGGGUCAAGCGAGGGGUGUUACACAAUGGGUAUUUUAGCAAAAGAAAAGGGGAGAAUGGGUAGAUUUUAACAAAGAGCUUCAAAGGCUUUAGAAUGAAAGAAUGAAUAAAUUUUAAAAUAGGAAAAUAGGUCAAACCAAGUUGGCUACUUGAAUAUUGAAGCUAAAGCCCAUUUUCCCACCAAAUACCAGACGCUCUUGUAGGCUUAGAGAUAUUUAAGAAAAAAACCUUAAACAGGUCUACAAGUGAUCUAUUGGCCCAUAAUCAACCAUACAAGCAAGCAAGUUAUAGAUAAUUUCAACCAUACAAAUCACUCUAAUCAUGGAAACUCAACAUUUGAGAGAUCAUGAAAUAAGCAUUGAGACUUCGGCUUUUCUUUCGUAAUAAUAUGAACUCAAAACUCGUGUUUCUUUCCAUUUAAUGGAACCAUUGAAGCAUAUAGAAUAUGAUAGAUAGAUAAAUAGAUAUUAGAUAAGACAUGGAAGAUACAAAAAAAUAACAAGUCAACCGAAUUACUGAAUUUACUUAUAAUUUAAAAUUUUAAUUGUAUUUAUUUAUAUUUUGAGUUUAAAUUUAAAUUUAAAUUUAAAUUAUAUUAUAAUAGAAAUAGUUUUAAAUAUGUUUUAUGAAAUUAUCAAAUGAUAAUUUCAUAUGUGAUAAUAAAACUAGUAUACUUAUAUAUAGUCACUUAUUAAAAUAAAAAAACAAGCUAAACCUUGAGAAUUUCUAUCUCAUCAAUAUUACUUUCUACGUCUCAAACUUCAAACUUAAAAAUCAAACUCAUAAACAAUAACCACGGAAAGGUUUUGUUAUAACUAUUAAUAUGAUUACUAACAAUUUUUUAAUUCACUAUUUUAAAAUAAAAAUUCAAGUAUAAACAAACAUUAACCAUUCAAUUAGAUUUUGAUUCCAAAGAAAAAAAUCAUAACAAAUAGAAGUUAAACAAGCCUAAUAAAAAAUAGAACAAAAUCUUAAUAUAGUAUUAUGAGAUGUUAAAGGUUCAAUUUUAGUUCAUAAGAAAAGCACUUCUCUUACAUACAGAUAUUAUAUAUAUCAAUCUUUUAAUAAAAAAGAUAACAAGUAAUAAGAAAAUAUUAAAAAGAAAAAGUGAAAGAUGGCAUGCCAAGAUCUUGUUGUUGUUGUUGCACUUGUUUUCAUGGUUGUUGUUGGGGCAUUUGCUGUCGAAUCGUCACCUUUACCAGUCCCUUCCAAGGCAUCUUCACCUUCAAAGUCACCAUCUCCUUCUUCUUCGGUUUCUUCCCCCAAGUCCCCCUCCAUUAAGUCACCGUCACAAUACUCCAAUGGCUCAAUUUUUUC
rnacentral:lncRNA from 1 species